CGGUGGAGCAUGUGGUUUAAUUCGAAGCAACGCGAAGAACCUUACCAGGGCUUGACAUGCCGCUGACCGGUGCAGAGAUGCAUCUUUAUCCUUCGGGGUACAGCGGACACAGGUGGUGCAUGGUUGUCGUCAGCUCGUGUCGUGAGAUGUUGGGUUAAGUCCCGCAACGAGCGCAACCCUUGUCUUUAGUUGCCAUCAUUAAGUUGGGCACUCUAAAGAGACUGCCGAUGACAAAUCGGAGGAAGGUGGGGAUGACGUCAAAUCAUCAUGCCCUUUAUGUCCUGGGCUACACACGUGCUACAAUGGUCGGUACAACGAGAAGCAAGUCAGCGAUGGCAAGCAAAUCUCUAAAAGCCGAUCCCAGUUCGGAUUGCAGGCUGCAACUCGCCUGCAUGAAGUCGGAGUUGCUAGUAAUCGCGGAUCAGAAUGCCGCGGUGAAUGCGUUCCCGGGUCUU
rnacentral:rRNA from 2 species